rnacentral:tRNA from 2 species
AAUGAAAUGCCUGAAAAAGGGUUAUCUUGAUAGGAUAAAUCAUGUAUAUUAUAGUAUUACUUUCAUUG